rnacentral:lncRNA from 1 species
AGUGGUUUGGUUUGGUUUAUUUUUUAUUAGUAACAUAUUGCAAAACUGAUGAUCUUCAAUUUGGAAUGCAGAUUUCCCUUCUAUCCAAAUUCAGGACCAUAGGAUGAGCACAGGCCAGACAUUUUUUUUUUUUUCUAACAGCAAAGAAAACGUUUAAUCUCUCUGAAUGUUAAUGUGCAGCUCUGGACUUUCUAAUUUGAUUUUAUUUCUUUGCUCUUCUCUUUUAGUUCCCUCAGGCUCAGCCUUAAAAUUGUUUACCAACUGCUGUUUACAAUCACAAUUACUGUAUAUUCUAAUAACAUAAUGAGGAAAUGGAAUAGACAGUCCCCAAGAAACAUCUGUAUCCAUCAGAAUUUGAUCAGAGAAGCAGCACAACUACAAAUGAUGAAGCAGGAGAGGUUUACAACAGAGAUUAGUGGAGCUGAUGGAGAAGUCGAGGCAGGACUAUCGUCUUGUGUCUGGUAUUGUGCGUAAAGUCACAACAGGUCUGCCAGACCAGCUGUUGGGAAAGGGAAGCCUAAUAUAGCAAGAACAAGGACAAUUAGAACAGGUGGGGAGUACUGGGACCCACAAAGACAAACCCUAACUCUUAAGUGACUCUCACCAACUCCCAACCCAGUGCUAUGAGAGGUUUUCAGGAGAAGCUGCGGUCCUUUGGAGCUGGACACGCAGGACUCAGUGAAGCUGAUUCAGGAGAUCUUGUCAGAACCGUUUCAAUCAACCUUCUAUCUAAAUGCUCAGUAAAAAAAUUAAAAUGUUAGCUUUAAUUCACGUCUUCUUUUUGUCUAAACAUAUUCUUCUUCAAGUCCUGUUAUUACUGCUACAAUGGAAUGUGAAGCUGCCCAUUUCUCUCCAGAUAAGCAAUUACUAUCUGGUUCCAAGUUGUGAGCAUGUUUCAACCAUGAACGUAACUUUCAUAGUCCCAGUUUUGAGCCAUCCCACCUCAAAAACAUAGACUCCACACAGUGGCCUUGCCCUAGCCCCAAAUUCAUCAAUGAUUUUCCUUGACAUAGUGAAAUCUGAAGUCCUUCCCUGAGCUCCAAAUCUCAACGCCACUCCCUUAAUCUAAAAAUGUAUCCAUUCAGCCUCACCCCCUUCCACUUUUUUUGACUUUAUUUCACCCCUGCCACCUUAGCUUCCUUUAUAUUUUGAAAUAAUUCUGUGUUCUUUAUCAUCAUAACUCAGUUGUUUUACCUUAAGCCAGCAGCUCUUCUGUCUGCAUGAUUCUUUAUCUUUCAAGUUUCAUUUCAAUAUAAUCUGCUUGCAAAUUAAUUUUCUAAUUACCAUGUUUUUGGUAAACAUUCCCCAUCUCUUAUUCUUCUACACACAGACACAUACACAUACACUUACUCCCUUCUCUAUCUUCUUCCUCGGCCUUAUAAUAAUGUAACUUAUGUUUUCAUAAACAAACCUUAAAAACAGAACCUGACAGAAAACAGUCAAUAUAUAUUUGUAGAAAGACAAAAUUAUCGCUUUUAUUUGUAUUCAUUUUAUUAAUUAUAAUGCUUUAAGUCAUUUCACAUAUUCAUUUGCAGUUGGUAAGUCUUCUGUAUGUUGACAGCUGAAUUAGCCCAUUUGUUUCUUUCUUGUGUUCUUUGUUUUCUUUAAAGUGCCUUACUUAUUUGUGAAGGCUAAGAAUACCUUAAAAUAUUUAUCUUUAGGCCGGGUGCGAUGGCUCACGUCUGUAAUCCCAGCACUUUGGGAGGCCGAGACGGGUGGAUCACUUGAAGUCAGGAGUUCGAGAACAGCCUGGCCAACAUGGUGAAACCCCAUCUCUACUAAAAAUACAAAAAUUAGCCUGCCAUGGUGGUGGAUGCCUGUAUUCUCAGCUACUCGGGAGGCAGGAGAAUCGCUUGAACCUGAGAGGCGGAGGUUGCAGUGAGCCAAGAUCUCACCACUGCACUGCAGCCUGGGCCAAACAGCCAGACUCCGUCUCAAAAAAAAAAAAAAAAAAUUAUCUUUAAUCUCUCAAACAUGUAACAUAUUUUUCAUCAUUUAAAAAUAUUUUACAGUUUUGUCAUAGAUAUUUUACAUCUUCUAAAUCAAAUUUAUCUUAUACUUUGACUUUUCUGACAUAUUUCCUAUGAAGUUAUUUUUCACCACAGUAAUAUAAAGACCUUGACUAAAAUUAUCUAGUCAUCACACAAUUUUAUAAUUUAAAUUUGUAUCAUUAACACGUGUGAUAUAUUUUGCUAUAUGAUAUGUGAUGGAGCGCCAGCAUUUUUUAAAUUUAUCUAUAUUUGUUGCCAAUGAUCUAAAUAAAUUUUUUGUUUUAUUGAUCUGUCUUAUGUGAGAAUCUUAAAGUUUUAGUAAGUAUAUCUUCAAAUUCAUCUCCGGCAUCUUACACUUUUUUCCAGAACUUUCCCGAUUACUAUCAUAUAUACUCUUCCAAAUGAAAUUAAAACAAUUUGAAAUAACUUUAGAAGUGUAUAAUUAUGUUUCUAAGUAUUGAUGAAUUACUUAGAUAUUUGUUUCUGUCUUUUUGUUGUUGUUUGCUAUGGUUU